ACGGGGGCGUANGUGUAAGCCUCUUGGGAAAGAGAAUCAUUGAGGGUGAGAAUCCCGUUUGUCAUCUACAGUCCUUCGUGCACGGCAUACGUUCUAAGAGUCACGUUCCUCGGGAUUGGAGCGCAAACUGGGUGGUAAAUUUCAUCUCAAGCUAAAUAUGGGUUCGAGACCGAUAGCAAACAAGUACCAUGAGGGAAAGAUGAAAAGGACUUUGAAAAGAGAGUUAAAAGUGCCUGAAUUUGCUGAAAGGAAAGCGGAUGGAACCAGUGGUGUUUGGCGAGAUUGUUGUGUGAUAAAGUGAUUGCCUGCAGCGCUAGCGCAAGCGGUGCUAUUGGUUUUGAAUUGGCCUCAUGCUAUGUUUCUUGCCUAGUGUGUCAUCAUCGGUGUGGUGGUGGGGACAACUCAGUUGGACAUGGUAGCCUGCCUCUGGGUGGGUGAACGUGCCUUGCANAACUCACCGCCACACUGGCUCUUUACUGUGAGGUUGUGUUGCCUCGCUGCCUUUUUCUGUGUCGGCGCUCGCGUGCUUCACGGGUCUCGCUGGCCGGGCACCUUCCUGACAUGGCUAUGUUGACUAAAUGGUUCCAUUCGACCCGUCUUGAAACACGGGACCA
rnacentral:rRNA from 1 species